UACGUAGGUGACCAGCGUUGUCCGGAGUUACUGGGCGUAAAGAGCGCGCAGGCGGUCGUUCAAGUCGAGUGUGAAAGCCCCCGGCUCAACUGGGGAGGGUCACUCGAUACUGAUCGACUUGAAGGCAGGAGAGGGAAGCGGAAUUCCCGGUGUAGUGGUGAAAUGCGUAGAUAUCGGGAGGAACACCAGUGGCGAAGGCGGCUUCCUGGCCUGUUCUUGACGCUGAGGCGCGAAAGCUAGGGGAGCAAACGGG
rnacentral:rRNA from 1 species